rnacentral:rRNA from 1 species
GACGAACGCUGGCGGCGUGCUUAACACAUGCAAGUCGAACGGAAAGGCCCUGCUUUUGUGGGGUGCUCGAGUGGCGAACGGGUGAGUAACACGUGAGUAACCUGCCCUUGACUUUGGGAUAACUUCAGGAAACUGGGGCUAAUACCGGAUAGGAGCUCCUGCUGCAUGGUGGGGGUUGGAAAGUUUCGGCGGUUGGGGAUGGACUCGCGGCUUAUCAGCUUGUUGGUGGGGUAGUGGCUUACCAAGGCUUUGACGGGUAGCCGGCCUGAGAGGGUGACCGGCCACAUGGGGACUGAGAUACGGCCCAGACUCAUACGGGAGGCAGCAGUGGGGAAUAGUGCACAAUGGGCGGAAGCCUGAUGCAGCAACGCCGCGUGCGGGAUGACGGCCUUCGGGUUGUAAACCGCUUUCGCCUGUGACGAAGCGUGAGUGACGGUAAUGGGGAAAGAAGCACCGGCAAACUACGU